rnacentral:rRNA from 1 species
GAUGAACGCUAGCUACAGGCUUAACACAUGCAAGUCGAGGGGAAACGACAUCGAAAGCUUGCUUUUGAUGGGCGUCGACCGGCGCACGGGUGAGUAACGCGUAUCCAACCUGCCCAUCACUUGGGAAUAACCUUGCGAAAGUAAGACUAAUACCCAAUGACAUCCCACGAAGACAUCUGAAUGGGAUUAAAGAUUUAUCGGUGAUGGAUGGGGAUGCGUCCGAUUAGCUUGUUGGCGGGGUAACGGCCCACCAAGGCAACGAUCAGUAGGGGUUCUGAGAGGAAGGUCCCCCACAUUGGAACUGAGACACGGUCCAAACUCCUACGGGAGGCAGCAGUGAGGAAUAUUGGUCAAUGGGCGAGAGCCUGAACCAGCCAAGUAGCGUGCAGGAUGACGGCCCUAUGGGUUGUAAACUGCUUUUAUAAGGGAAUAAAGUGGGUCUCGUGAGACUUUUUGCAUGUACCUUAUGAAUAAGGACCGGCUAAUUCCGUG